AAAUAGGAGGGAAAUUCUUUUGAAGUAUGACAUUAAAGGCUCUGUGAUUCAUUUAUUACAGAAUUCACAAAGGGCCCACUCCCAACAUGCAUUUCUAUUGCUGAAACCACACUGGAAUGAAUGGCGGGUGGAAAAGAACAUGGCAUUCCCUGCUGCCAUUGACAUGUGGUUGAACUCUGAACUGACAUCAGAACACUAUUCCUAUAACAGUUGGUAAGUUGUCAUAUUUGUGUGGUAUUGUGGCUAAAACAUUUUGCUGUUUGGAAUGAUGGACU
rnacentral:lncRNA from 11 species